CCCGGUCGGCGCGCACCGAAGCCCUACGUGCCCACGUGGGGUCCGCAGUAGGUGCCGCGGGCCGGG
rnacentral:ncRNA from 1 species